rnacentral:tRNA from 1 species
GGCAGCGUGGCUCAGCGGAAAGAGCACGGGCCUGGGAGUCAGAGGUCAUGGGUUUGAAUCCCGGCUCUGCCA